rnacentral:rRNA from 1 species
AGUGAACGCUGGCGGCAGGCCUAACACAUGCAAGUCGAACGGCAGCACAAGAGAGCUUGCUCUCUGGGUGGCGAGUGGCGGACGGGUGAGGAAUGCAUCGGAAUCUGCCCAUUUGUGGGGGAUAACCUCGGGAAACCGGGACUAAUACCGCAUACGACCUACGGGUGAAAGCAGGGGAUCUUCGGACCUUGCGCAGAUGGAUGAGCCGAUGCCGGAUUAGCUAGUUGGAGGGGUAAAGGCCCACCAAGGCGACGAUCCGUAGCUGGUCUGAGAGGAUGAUCAGCCACACUGGGACUGAGACACGGCCCAGACUCCUACGGGAGGCAGCAGUGGGGAAUAUUGGACAAUGGGCGCAAGCCUGAUCCAGCCAUGCCGCGUGUGUGAAGAAGGCCUUCGGGUUGUAAAGCACUUUUGUUGGCAAAGAAAGGCAGCCGGUUAAUACCCGGUUGUCAUGACGGUACCCAAAGAAUAAGCACCGGCUAACUUCGUG